AUUGAACGCUGGCGGCAUGCCUUACACAUGCAAGUCGAACGGCAGCACGGGGGCAACCCUGGUGGCGAGUGGCGAACGGGUGAGUAAUGCAUCGGAACGUGCCCGGAAGUGGGGGAUAACGUAGCGAAAGUUACGCUAAUACCGCAUAUUCUGUGAGCAGGAAAGAGGGGGAUCGCAAGACCUCUCGCUUUCGGAGCGGCCGAUGCCGGAUUAGCUAGUUGGUGGGGUAAAGGCCUACCAAGGCGACGAUCCGUAGCUGGUCUUAGAGGAUGAUCAGCCACACUGGGACUGAGACACGGCCCAGACUCCUACGGGAGGCAGCAGUGGGGAAUUUUGGACAAUGGGGGCAACCCUGAUCCAGCCAUGCCGCGUGAGUGAAGAAGGCCUUCGGGUUGUAAAGCUCUUUCGGAUAGAAAGAAAUCGCACGGGCUAAUAUCCCGUGUGGAUGACGGUACUAUCAUAAGAAGCACCGGCUAACUACGUGCCAGCCGCCGCAGUAAUAC
rnacentral:rRNA from 1 species